rnacentral:tRNA from 2 species
GGCGACAUGGCCAAGUGGUAAGGCAGGAGUCUGCAAAACUCUCAUCCCCAGUUCAAAUCUGGGUGUCGCCU